UUCCCUUACCUUUGCAAUGUAAAGAGUUUUUGGCUGCACAUGAAGGAGAAGUUUUGGCUUUUCAGAACUUGAGAAUAUUAAGGUCCUGCAAGUAGAACACCCCAAAGACUUCGUCACUGCUGAAAUCCAUUGUCUAAAGAAGACUGUGAACACAGCAAAAGAUGAGUUUCCCAGGCUCUGGAGAUGCAGGAUGUGGUGUUUGUGCUGUUUCAGGAAAUGCCAACAGCUCCACCUUGAAGUGGCACUGGAGAGUACAAGCUGAUUUUGUAUCAUAGCCAGCAAUGUGUGCGUGCAGGCUCUUCACGUGUAUGUCCAUGGAGGCAAUCUACAUCGGCAAGAGAGGCAUUGACAAAUGGGGUCUAGAAAAAUGUUUUUUGGAUAACUGGGAGACUAUUGCAUGAAAUCUGCGCUGGCUGCUGCACUACGUCCUUAUGCAAAAUUGGUGGCUUCUUUUCUGAAUUAAGUGAUGGAAUGACGUGGUGAGGUAUUGGUUUGAGAGAGGAGGUAACGUCAAAGGGAAAGGAGGUGCUCUGGCAUAUGUAAGAUGAAAAAAAAAAGAGGGUAUUCCUGAAAGAAGAAUGCACAUCAGUCAAAGGCAUCAAUAAAUAAAGCUCUUUUUCAUAUGUAAAUGGGAAUUUAUAAAGUAAAGAAGGUAUUGUUUUAUAAAUAGUGAGAUAAUAUUCUUGAAAAAGGUUACCAGUGAUUACAUAAGUUAUCUCUUCCAUAAAGAAAUUUAGAGCUCAUAGUUGCUCUUUUCAUUAAAAAGGCUUUUCAUCUAGUCUCAUGCAGAAAGCCAAGCUCUGCAUUUUAAUUAGAGAUAAUAAAUAAUUAUAUCACUUAGGAAACUGAAGCUAUUAAAGUCUUUUUGUGAUACUGUAUAGCUAUAAAUCUCUCUAAAUAUAUAGGUAUAUACAUUCAGCUUUUGAUUCACAGAUCAUAUUAAAGUAGAUAAUAUAAUAGCUAUAUAAAUAUGAGCAAUAUUCAGGGCAUUUUAACAAAGGGUAAAAUACCUUUAUGUACUUGCAGCACAAUAAAGCGUCUUAAACUCUGACCAGCCAGGCCAAAAUAUUAAGUGGUCUCGCUAUAGAUGCAAAUAAAGACCAUGUGAAACCCUCCCCUCAAAAACAUUAUAAAUAAAUAGUUAUUGUUAUUAUUUUAAAAUGCAGCAAGGAAAUGUCGUGUGACUGGUUUUAAUGGGCAAUGUGUUCCCCUUGAUGUGAGCAAGGUUGGAUGAAGACCUCAGAGAGGAAGAGAACGGUAUUGGUUUUAAGCAGCUACAUCACCUCUUAAGGAAGCGUUGAAACCUUCUCUUUCAUUUGAUCUUCUGCUUCCAAGUUCUUUUUUUUUAUCAUCACACACAGGGGCAUCUUCUCUGCAUGAAAUUAGUGAGCCAGAGUCAAGGGCAGAAAAAAACAGAGACAGACAGACUUCCUCAACUUAUACACCCCACAGGGACCAGCUGACGUUGAAAAAGCAGAGAAGUGAGCCAUUAAAGUAUGGUUUGGGAUUGACACUGACCUAGGCCUGCCAUCCAGCAUUGUCCUGCCAUCUGCACAGACAUGAACUUUGCCUCUAAAAUUUGGCUUCUCAAUUAACAUGUCCAGCUGGGGGGAGAAUUCCGUCAUUUGCCUAAUAUCAUUAUUGCCACUGCUCUGACAUAUUAAUAUUAAAAAUAUAUGUGAGC
ensembl:lncRNA